rnacentral:rRNA from 1 species
UUCAGCGCGUCUGGUAAACCCNGUCAGGCUGACUCAUCCUGCUGUCGCUCCUGGUGAGAUGUCGGGUGAAUCCGAUUGAACCGAGCUCCACCUUGUGUGCUCCCCCGCCAAUUCCCUUAAGUUCAGCUUGCGGCGUACUCCCCAGGCGGUCCGUUUAACACCUACGCCCCGACACUGCAGGCCCCUAUAGGACUUGCAACAUCAAACGGGGACANUUCCCGUUUUA